rnacentral:rRNA from 1 species
CCUACGGGUGGCUGCAGUGGGGAAUAUUGCACAAUGGGCGCAAGCCUGAUGCAGCCAUGCCGCGUGUGUGAAGAAGGCCUUCGGGUUGUAAAGCACUUUCAGCGGGGAGGAAGGCGUUAAGGUUAAUAACCUUGGCGAUUGACGUUACCCGCAGAAGAAGCACCGGCUAACUCCGUGCCAGCAGCCGCGGUAAUACGGAGGGUGCAAGCGUUAAUCGGAACUACUGGGCGUAAAGCGCACGCAGGCGGUCUGUCAAGUCGGAUGUGAAAUCCCCGGGCUCAACCUGGGAACUGCAUUCGAAGCUGGCAGGCUAGAGUCUUGUAGAGGGGGGUAGAAUUCCAGGUGUAGCGGUGAAAUGCGUAGAGAUCCGGAGGAAUACCGGUGGCGAAGGCGGCCCCCUGGACAAAGACUGACGCUCAGGUGCGAAAGCGUGGGGAGCAAACAGGAUUAGAUACCCUUGUAGUC